rfam:Trichobilharzia regenti genome assembly, scaffold: TRE_scaffold0001965
GUACUGAUGAAGAGUCCCAAACUAGGACGAAACAGUUGUCCAGUAC